GCCGUCUGUGGAUCCGCGAGGACUUCUGGUUCCCCGUCGGCCGCCGACCAAUCGGUGUUCGCUGAGAAAAGGGGCGGGCCCCGCGGUUCCCUAGGUUACCUGUGUGAUUGACGUCCAGCCUCCUGCGGCGGAGCGCGCAGACCUCCCCUUCCCGCACACUGAGGAGAAAUCCGCGAGAGAGGGAGAGACGGAGAAGCGACACAUGGGCGCGAGAGGAACGCUUUUUGUCUAAAGUCCCUCGCCGCCGUCCUCGCGCUCUCUUUGCCGGAAGGAUGAACGCGGGAGCGCCGGUAGAAGAAGGGGACUCCUGAAGAAGGGACUCGUCGUACGUUCAUGCUGCCGUUUUGCAUCCCUCCACCUUCCCAUCUGCGCCCAGUGCUCAUCGAAUUCAUCAGCUUCAUCGUCUUCUAGCAGCCUCAUCAGCCAACACCACUGGUUUCCAUGGUAACGGAGUGUUGCUGAGACGGUCGUCAGGCUGCCCACUGGAGCCCGCACGGCUCCCAUUCACCCAUAGACACACUCACACACCGAGGACCUACAAAUAUGCAUUACAGUCGCGUUGACUCAAGGACACACAACCCAAGGACACAAUGAAGACACGGCUACGUACAAACGAAUCCACGCACACACACACACACACACACACACACACACACACACACACACACACACAAAACUCAUACAAGCACUUUGCUGUUUAGGCUUUUAUACCAUGAGAAGUUAGUCAGUAUCACUCUUAUUGUGUGUGUGUGUGUGUGUGUGUGUGUGUGUGUCUGUGUGCGUAUGAACACGUUCUUGGGUGUGAGGUUCUGUGUGCUACUCUAUAUAUUCCCCCAAAGCAGAAACCAAAGGCCUCCCUUUCCCCCGGCACGUUAGGAAUAGUGAGGUGGGGAAAUGCUGGCAGCCAUGUGGUCUCCAGCGCAGACACACACACACACACACACACACACACACAC
ensembl:lncRNA